CGGAAUAUGGUGUAGUCAGGUAACGCUUCUGUUUUGGGAACAGAAAAUCAUAGGUUCAAAUCCUAUUAUUCCGA
rnacentral:tRNA from 1 species